rnacentral:rRNA from 1 species
AACGCUAGCUACAGGCUUAACACAUGCAAGUCGAGGGGAAACGAUACUGGAAGCUUGCUUCCGAUAGGCGUCGACCGGCGCACGGGUGAGUAACGCGUAUCCAACCUGCCCACCACUUGGGGAUAACCUUGCGAAAGUAAGACUAAUACCCAAUGAUAUCUCAAGAAGACAUCUGAAUGAGAUUAAAGAUUUAUCGGUGAUGGAUGGGGAUGCGUCUGAUUAGCUUGUUGGCGGGGUAACGGCCCACCAAGGCGACGAUCAGUAGGGGUUCUGAGAGGAAGGUCCCCCACAUUGGAACUGAGACACGGUCCAAACUCCUACGGGAGGCAGCAGUGAGGAAUAUUGGUCAAUGGGCGAGAGCCUGAACCAGCCAAGUAGCGUGCAGGAUGACGGCCCUAUGGGUUGUAAACUGCUUUUAUAAGGGAAUAAAGUGAGUCUCGUGAGGCUUUUUGCAUGUACCUUAUGAAUAAGGACCGGCUAAUUCCGUGCCAGCAGCCGCGGUAAUACGGAAGGUCCGGGCGUUAUCCGGAUUUAUUGGGUUUAAAGGGAGCGUAGGCCGGAGAUUAAGCGUGUUGUGAAAUGUAGAUGCUCAACAUCUGCACUGCAGCGCGAACUGGUUUCCUUGAGUACGCACAAAGUGGGCGGAAUUCGUGGUGUAGCGGUGAAAUGCUUAGAUAUCACGAAGAACUCCGAUUG